rnacentral:lncRNA from 1 species
CACAUCUUGCACUUCGGGAAGUAAAUCAAUCUAAAGUUUUUUUAGACUUAUAGGAAAUAUUAUUAACAUUUGCAUCUCUAAUUAAGUUUACUAUAGAAAUAUAUGACAUGAUUAAUAUAUUUUUUUUCUAGCUAGUAUUAUAAUAUCUGAUAACUUAUGUUGUUUCUUGUCCUGGUUUAAUAAUUUAUAUACUUGCGUUUGGUAGGGAUAUCUGAAUCGUAAUUAAUCCAUGCAACUGUUUGAUUAGCUUGCUGGAUUCUUGAAACUAAAACUAGAAUCUAAAAUAUUUCUGGGUGUGCCAAACACACUGAAUUGUUUCGUUUUUGGCACUCUUAGACCUUAAACAUAAUUCUGGUGAGUUUAGCUAAUUAAUCUUGGCCAGUUGGCCUGGCCUUCCAGAUGCAUGGACCAACUGGCCUUGUUUAGUUUAUCCCGAAAUCCAAAAAGUUUUUUCAAAAUUCCCCGUCACAUCGAAUCUUGCGGCACAUGCAUGAAGCAUUAAAUAUAGACGAAAACAAAAACUAAUUACACAGUUUGUCUGUAAAUCACGAGACGAAUCUUUUGAUCCUAAUUAAUUUAUGAUUGAACAAUAUUUGUCAAAUAAAAACAAAAAUACUAUAGUAACGAAAUCCGAAAUUUUUUCGGAACUAAACAAGGCCUAAGGGUGAACCGGUGCUGACCCACAAAUGCAAGUACAGCUUUUCAUGCUAGAUCGUUGGUCUAGGUCACGGCCGCAGUACCACAGACUCCCAGUCUGAAGUUACCAAAUGGUCAGUCAAUGCUGGAGUUCAGUGAGACAGGGUUCACGUACACCACCAAUGCAUCAGGCUUCAUCAUACGAAUGAGUGACAAAAAAAAAAAAAUGAAAUUUCAUACUACAUCUUAACACAAACUGGAUCUAUAUACAGAAUUGUUUUUGCCUAAUUGUGUUGCAUGCAUCACAGCAUGAGUAUACUAACACAUCACAUAAAAUGUCGAGACAUGUUUUUUCUCCACUUCACUGGAGGUAAAGCGGAAACACCAGUGCAGUUCUGAACAUUGAUUUUUGUUUUCCGGGUGAGGAAAGAAAGAAGGAAAUAGGCCUGCUGUCUGCACAUCGAUCGGGUGUCGGAAAGAAAGAAAGAAGCAAAACAUGCAUCCGGAUUAUGCGUAAUCAUUUGGGCCGUUCUGGGAGCUGAAAAGAUCCGGUCCAUUAAUUGAUUAUGAUAUCUUUUGGCCAGGCGCUAGCGGUUGCUUUUUCGCAGACAGGUUGAGAAGACAAGGCG